rnacentral:rRNA from 1 species
UUUGAAGAGAGAGUUCAAGAGUANGUGAANCCGUUCAGGGGUAAACGGGAGAAAUCCUGAAUUCGAAAGGGGCCGGAUUCAAGUCCAUCCUGAUUGCUCAGGCCGCUCGGCCCCGCCAGAUGGUGCCGGUCGCCCGCGGCGAUUCACUUCGCUUGCGGUGUCGUUCCCGGUGCCCACUCGGUGGGGUAGCGUCGCUCUGGCGUCGGAGGAGUGCACUUCCACCCUAGUAGAAACGUCGCGACCCGUUGGGUGCCGGUCUAAGGCCCGGGAUGGCAGACCACGUGUCCUGCGGGGGUUCUCGCAGGCGCGCGGACUCCUGGUGACCCGGCCGGCUGCCCGACGGUAAGACCAGAGGGGUCGAUCCGCUACUUGCGAAACACUUUGGCUGUGUAGCGUCCGGCCCGGCGCCGACGCGUGCGGGGAUGAGGCGCAAGCCCCGGGUGCCCGUGCGAAGCACGGCCCCGGCCCCGUCGCGUUGUCGGAUCCGCCGGUGUCCUCGGACUGGAUCGCGACCCCCGUCUGCGACGCCCACCUUCGGAUGGUCUCCCGAC